rnacentral:rRNA from 1 species
UACGUAGGGGGCUAGCGUUGUCCGGAUUUACUGGGCGUAAAGGGCGCGUAGGCGGCAAUUCAAGUCAUCUGUGAAAUCUCCGGGCUUAACUCGGAACGGUCAGAUGAUACUGCUUUGCUAGAGUGCGGAAGGGGCAAUCGGAAUUCUUGGUGUAGCGGUGAAAUGCGUAGAUAUCAAGAGGAACACCUGAGGUGAAGACGGGUUGCUGGGCCGACACUGACGCUGAGUGCGCGAAAGCCAGGGGAGCAAACGGG